rnacentral:tRNA from 1 species
GGGCGCAUAGCUCAGUUGGGAUGAGCGCUUGCUUCACACGCAAGAGGUCACAGGUUCGAGCCCUGUUGCGCCCACCA